rnacentral:tRNA from 1 species
GGGCCUAUGGCGCAGUUGGUAGCGCGUCUCGUUCGCAAUGAGAAGGUCGGGGGUUCGAAUCCCCCUAGGUCCA